rnacentral:rRNA from 1 species
UACGUAGGGGGCUAGCGUUGUCCGGAAUCAUUGGGCGUAAAGCGCGCGUAGGCGGCCCGGUAAGUCCGUUGUAAAAGUCAAAGGCUCAACCUUUGAAAGCCGAUGGAUACUGCCGGGCUAGAGUCCGGAAGAGGCGAGUGGAAUUCCUGGUGUAGCGGUGGAAUGCGCAGAUAUCAGGAGGAACACCGAUAGCGAAGGCAGCUCGCUGGGACGGUACUGACGCUGAGGCGCGAAAGCGUGGGGAGCGAACAGG